GACGAACGCUGGCGGCGUGCCUAACACAUGCAAGUGGAGCGACGAACCAGGCUUCGGCCUGGGGCAAAGCCGCGAACGGGUGAGUAACACGUGGGUAACCUGCCCUGAUGAUUGGGACAACCCGAGGAAACUCGGGCUAAUACCAAAUGUGCCCUUCGGCCACAAGGCCGCUGGGGAAAGGAAGCUUCGGCCUCCGCAUCUGGAUGGGCCCGCGGCCCAUUAGCUUGUUGGUGAGGUAACGGCUCACCAAGGCGACGAUGGGUAGCUGGUCUGAGAGGACGAUCAGCCACACUGGGACUGAGACACGGCCCAGACUCCUACGGGAGGCAGCAGUGGGGAAUCUUGCGCAAUGCGCGAAAGCGUGACGCAGCAACGCCGCGU
rnacentral:rRNA from 1 species